rnacentral:rRNA from 1 species
UACGGAGGGUGCGAGCGUUGUCCGGAAUCACUGGGCGUAAAGGGCGCGUAGGCGGCCCGGCAAGUCAAUGGUGAAAGCUCGCGGCUCAACUGCGAGUCGGCCACUGAUACUGCUGGGCUAGAGCACUGUAGAGGCAGAUGGAAUUCCGGGUGUAGCGGUGGAAUGCGUAGAGAUCCGGAAGAACACCGGUGGCGAAGGCGGUCUGCUGGGCAGUAGCUGACGCUGAGGCGCGACAGCGUGGGGAGCAAACAGG